GUUUUCGUAAUACGAAUGGCGGCCACCCAGUAUUCGUCAAUUAAGCUGCAGUUAACCGCAGCUUCUGGGAGGCUAAUUGCUGGCACACUCCAGCUCACAGGUGGUCUAGUCAUUCGUGUGGUUGUUCGGUAGAUUGAAUCUACCGAACACCGGGCAGAAAAGCGCGAAUAAGUCUUUUCUGCAGAGAAAAAGAUGUCUUUUAACAUGGGGCCAUAGUCCAAAG